ensembl:lncRNA
CCCCAGUGGGCACGUGUUACAGGUGCUCUUUCAGUUUGCCGUCUGCAGGUGGCUUUUGCUAACCAGCUCAAUGAGACGCCCCUUCCUUAUCAGAAGGACAGAGGGAUUUCUGUAACCUGGGUUUCUUGCUUUGGUGUACCGGAAGAGUUGGAUCACACGCGGGCUUGGAGAAUGAGUGCAAGGUUUUGUUGAGUAGAAGUAGCUCUCAGCGGAUGGGGGAGCCAGAAGGGAGAGGGGUCGGGCUACUGGGUGGCCUGGGCUCUCCUCCAACUGCCCACACUCCGUGUCAUUCCACCAGUCAGUGGCCUUCCCGCCUGCCAGUGCCCGUCGUGCUCUUCUGCCCGGCUCUCCUCUGGACCUGCUCUCCUCUCCUCUGCACGCCCUCUCCACAAUCACCCGCUUGCGUCUGCUUCCACCAAUGUGCUUCUCUCCAGGUCCAGCUGCUGGUGUCGCUGCCGUGCUAGGGUCUCAGCAUCAGUAGCCUCUGCCAUCUGAGAAGGCCUGCUGCUUCAUUUCCAGUUUGGAUGGAAGUAAAAGAUGACAGAUUUGGUAGAGAGCACAGAUGGUAAAAGAGAAGGCUCUUCAGAGAUUUCUUCCUUCUCCUUCUGCCAGGCUUCCCUCCAGGGCUGGCAGGUACAUUGUUGAUUGUGAAACUGGAGUCUCCAGUGAUCUUUUCAUAAACAUGCCAGAGACUGUCUCAAGAGACAAAUGGACUGAUGUUCUUGCCAUGAGCAGUUUAGGUUCUCCAGGAAAAUUACGGGUGGCAGGAAGGACCAACUUUCUCAGCGUGAAUGAAGAACCUGCUGACAAGGCCCUGGCUUAAUGGCUCUCCUGAGCACCAGUCAACUCCACAGUUUCUAAGUCUUCACUAUCCUUCUGCCUGCAGAGGCUCUCAUACAAGUCCCAGUGGCUUGACCAUCCACCUUGGCCUCACUGCUGAAAGGAGAAGGUAGAGGAAUGCAAAAGACAAAAUCAGAUUGCCACAGCCCUCUAAUUCAUGUCCGUCUUAAAAAUGUCUUUCAUCUUCAGCUUCAUUUAUUCCAUCCUGGUCCAGCCUGCUUGUAUUCGUGAUUUGGAGGAAGCAGCACAGAGCUUGUCUCUCAUCCAAGCACAGGCAGAGCUGCAGUGGCCCUGCGAGGAGACCCCAGCUGGGCUCCGGCUCUGCAGGGGCCCUGGCUUCCGGCCUAAGCCAAUUGUGACCACUUUGUCUUCUUGGCAGUCCCUGCGAGUUCAGACUCUGUUGUAAUUUAUAGGCAAAACUCCUGCCUCUUGUCCACAUCCUCAAUCUCAAACUUGGUUUCCUCUCAAUUCCAGAUACCGGGAUAAGCAAACUAAAACCACAGAACGACUCCAACCUAGAACAUUUCAGCCUUCACCCCACUGUCCCAACACAGUGUACAUUAGAAGAAGGAGCCAUGUCCCUCAAUCCUGAAAUCUUUUCUUUUUAGCACUCACCCUUUGUGGCGUUGUGUCCAGAUACCAGGACUGUACUUUGAGACCACAGCACUUUCUAGAGGAAAACUCCAGAUUGCUUACUAGAUUUCCUGUUAUACUCCACGGCCAGCUUCCUUUGGAGAUGAAGCAUCUAAGCUCUAAGUCAAGUCUGCAAGUUUGAGCAUGAUUCAAACGUUGAAUAAAACCUGGAGAUGACAACUUUAAUUAUUAGAAGGGUGCGUCACUUUUAUAUUAUAUUCAACAGUACUUAAAUCCAAUUACAACCACACAGCUUACAGUGCUUUUCUUCAAAGCUCUUUCUGCAAGAUUGCAAAUGAACUAUCUUGUAACCGCAUCAAAAGGAAGGUGAGGCCUUCCUAUAGUCAGCUGAGCUUUGGCCUGACUCUGAACUGUGCUGCAUGGCCACCUAAGAAUCUAGGACAUAUGUACUUAGAUGGUUGUGUCCAAUAGCCUGUCCUUGUGUGUAAUUGUGAUAAAACUUAAUGACAUCUUAUACAAUCUUCUUAAUUACCUUCAAAGAGACAAUGAUGUUUGGUGUACUUGGGCAGAAAUGGUGCCACUUAGGAAGUAAACAGAGGCAGGGAAGGACAAAGAAGAGAGCACCUUUCUCAGCUGGGUACACUGGCUCACACCUGUAAUCCUAGCACUUUGGGAGGCCCAGGCGUGUGGAUCACCUUAGGUCAGGAAUUCUAGAGCAGCCUGGCCAACAUGGUGAAAUCCCAUCUCUACUAAAAAUAAAAAAGUUAGCUAGGUGUGGUGGCGCAUGCCUAUAAUCCCAGCUACUCAGGAGUCUCCGGCAGGAGAAUCCUUUAAUCCUGGGAGGUGGAGGUUGUGGUGAGCUGAGAUUGCACCACUCCACUCCAGCCUGGGCAACAGAGGAAGACUCUGUCUGGCGAGGGGAAAGAAAAGAACACUUUUUUCCAAACAACUGGGACAAUUCUUCUCAUCUUACAUAACAGGACAAAUUGCAUAUUGGAAGGAGGGUUUGACAGAAGUGGGUGGUAGUGACGGUAGCCCCGUUUCUUUUUUUAGGAUAAAGAGUAGGCAGGCAAUAUCUGACCACAGCAGGUAAUAGUGAAAGGGACAUCAACUUUCUUAUUUUCAUUCUACCCCCUUUUGUUGGCAGUUACGGUCAGAGCAAUCAUUUUGUGCAUGAAUCUGUAUGGUACAGUAGUAAUCCAGUCGCAUGUCAGUAUUGGGGAACCCACGUUUAUUUUUCCUUUCAAAGAGGUUUCAAAAAAUCAUAGAAUCAGAGAAAUACUGAUUUAUUGAGUAUGAUGAGCCUGAUUCUACCCCUAGAAUAUCUCACUUUAGGGUGGGAGGAAGUCCUUCUUUUUGCUCCCUGGGAGUCCAGCACUGGGG